GUUCCUUCGGGAACUAUGGACAUAAACGCGCUCGUAAUAAGCGGAUCGGACCCGGGGGCGGUACCCGGCGGCUCCACCA
rnacentral:tmRNA from 1 species